rnacentral:rRNA from 1 species
GACGAACGCUGGCGGCGUGCCUAAUACAUGCAAGUCGAACGAACGGAUAAAGAGCUUGCUCUUUUGAAGUUAGUGGCGGACGGGUGAGUAACACGUGGGUAACCUGCCUCACAGCUGGGGAUAACAUCGAGAAAUCGAUGCUAAUACCGAAUGUGCUGAACAUCAUAAGAUGUUCAAGUGAAAGACGGUUUCGGCUGUCACUGUGAGAUGGACCCGCGCUGGAUUGGCUAGUUGGUAAGGUAAUGGCUUACCAAGGCGACGAUCCAUAGCCGACCUGAGAGGGUGAUCGGCCACAUUGGGACUGAGACACGGCCCAAACUCCUAACGGGAGACCAGCAGUAGGGAAUCUUCGGCAAUGGACGAAAGUCUGACCGAGCAACGCCG